GAUGAACGCUGGCGGCGUGCCUAAUACAUGCAAGUCGAGCGAACGGACGAGAAGCUUGCUUCUCUGAUGUUAGCGGCGGACGGGUGAGUAACACGUGGAUAACCUACCUAUAAGACUGGGAUAACUUCGGGAAACCGGAGCUAAUACCGGAUAAUAUUUUGAACCGCAUGGUUCAAAAGUGAAAGACGGUCUUGCUGUCACUUAUAGAUGGAUCCGCGCUGCAUUAGCUAGUUGGUAAGGUAACGGCUUACCAAGGCAACGAUGCAUAGCCGACCUGAGAGGGUGAUCGGCCACACUGGAACUGAGACACGGUCCAGACUCCUACGGGAGGCAGCAGUAGGGAAUCUUCCGCAAUGGGCGAAAGCCUGACGGAGCAACGCCGCGUGAGUGAUGAAGGUCUUCGGAUCGUAAAACUCUGUUAUUAGGGAAGAACAUAUGUGUAAGUAACUGUGCACAUCUUGACGGUACCUAAUCAGAAAGCCACGGCUAACUACGUGCCCAGCAGCCGCGGUAUUACGUAGGUGGCAAGCGUUAUCCGGAAUUUAUUGGGCGUAAAGCGCGCGUAGGCGGUUUUUUAAGUCUGAUGUGAAAGCCCACGGCUCAACCGUGGAGGGUCAUUGGAAACUGGAAAACUUGAGUGCAGAAGAGGAAAGUGGAAUUCCAUGUGUAGCGGUGAAAUGCGCAGAGAUAUGGAGGAACACCAGUGGCGAAGGCGACUUUCUGGUCUGUAACUGACGCUGAUGUGCGAAAGCGUGGGGAUCAAACAGGAUUAGAUACCCUGGUAGUCCACGCCGUAAACGAUGAGUGCUAAGUGUUAGGGGGUUUCCGCCCCUUAGUGCUGCAGCUAACGCAUUAAGCACUCCGCCUGGGGAGUACGACCGCAAGGCUGAAACUCAAAGGAAUUGACGGGGACCCGCACAAGCGGUGGAGCAUGUGGUUUAAUUCGAAGCAACGCGAAGAACCUUACCAAAUCUUGACAUCCUUUGACAACUCUAGAGAUAGAGCCUUCCCCUUCGGGGGACAAAGUGACAGGUGGUGCAUGGUUGUCGUCAGCUCGUGUCGUGAGAUGUUGGGUUAAGUCCCGCAACGAGCGCAACCCUUAAGCUUAGUUGCCAUCAUUAAGUUGGGCACUCUAAGUUGACUGCCGGUGACAAACCGGAGGAAGGUGGGGAUGACGUCAAAUCAUCAUGCCCCUUAUGAUUUGGGCUACACACGUGCUACAAUGGACAAUACAAAGGGCAGCGAAACCGCGAGGUCAAGCAAAUCCCAUAAAGUUGUUCUCAGUUCGGAUUGUAGUCUGCAACUCGACUACAUGAAGCUGGAAUCGCUAGUAAUCGUAGAUCAGCAUGCUACGGUGAAUACGUUCCCGGGUCU
rnacentral:rRNA from 1 species